rnacentral:rRNA from 1 species
UGAGUACGAGCGGCUACGGCCGCGAAGUGGAUGAUGUCAAGCUUCCAAGAAAAGCCCUAUACCCGUUAAGGCAUGAUGGCCUGUACCCGAAACCGACACAGGUGGGGUGGUAGAGAAUACCGAGGGGCGCGAGGUAACUCUCUCUAAGGAACUCGGCAAAAUGGCCCCGUAACUUCGGGAGAAGGGGUGCCACCGCGAGGUGGUCGCAGUGAAGAGGCCCAGGCGACUGUUUACCAAAAACACAGGUCUCCGCUAAGUCGCAAGACGAUGUAUGGGGGCUGACGCCUGCCCAGUGCCGGAAGGUUAAGGAAGCUGGUCAGCGCAAGCGAAGCUGGCGACUGAAGCCCCGGUGAACGGCGGCCGUAACUAUAACGGUCCUAAGGUAGCGAAAUUCCUUGUCGGGUAAGUUCCGACCCGCACGAAAGGCGCAACGAUCUGGGCGCUGUCUCGGAGAGAGGCUCGGCGAAAUAGAAUUGUCUGUGAAGAUGCGGACUACGUGCACCCGGACAGAAAGACCCUAUGAAGCUUUACUGUAGCUUGGUAUUGUGCUCGGGCUCGGAAUGCGCAGGAUAGGUGGGAGGCUUUGAUCCAUUGCUUGCGGGUGAUGGUGAGCCACUGGUGAGAUACCACUCUUUCCGAGCUAGAGUUCUAACAGCAACCCGUUAUCCGGGUGCUGGACAGUAUCAGGUGGGCAGUUUGACUGGGGCGGUCGCCUCCUAAAAGGUAACGGAGGCGCGCAAAGGUCUGCUCAGGCUGGUUGGAAAUCAGCCGACGAGUGUAAAAGCAGAAGCAGGCUUGACUGUGAGACCUACAAGUCGAACAGGGAGGAAACUCGGCUUUAGUGAUCCGACGGUUCUGCGUGGAAGGGCCGUCGCUCAACGGAUAAAAGUUACUCUAAGGAUAACAGGCUGAUCUCCCCCAAGAGUUCACAUCGACGGGGAGGUUUGGCACCUCGAUGUCGGCUCAUCGCAACCUGGGGCUGAAGUCGGUCCCAAGGGUUGGGCUGUUCGCCCAUUAAAGCGGUACGCGAGCUGGGUUCAGAACGUCGUGAGACAGUUCGGUCCAUAUCCGGUGCACGCGCAGGAAUAUUGAGAGGAUUUCUCCCUAGUACGAGAGGACCGGGAGGAACGCACCUCUGGUGUGCCAGUUAUCGUGCCAACGGUAAACGCUGGGUAGCCAUGUGCGGAGUGGAUAACCGCUGAAAGCAUCUAAGUGGGAAGCCCACCUCAAGAUGAGUAUUCCCAUGGCAUAAGCCAGUAAGGUCACGGGAAGAACACCCGUUGAUAGGCUCUACGUGGAAGCGCAGUAAUGCGUGAAGCGGAGGAGUACUAAUAGACCGAGGGCUUGACCG